AAUUUAGAAUGCCGCCCCAUCAAUUGUUGACGGUAAGGUAGUGGCUUACCGUGGUUGCAACGGGUAACGGGGAAUCAGGGUUCGGUUCCGGAGAGGGAGCAUGAGAAAUGGCUGCCAGAUCUAUGGAUUGCAGCAGGUGCGUAAAUUAUCCACUUUUGGCAUAAAGAGAUAGUGAUCAUAAAUAGCGGAUUCGGGUAUUUGCCUGGAGAUCGCAAUGAAAUAAUCGUAAAAGCUUUAAUGAAUGCAAUUGGAGGGCAAGUCUGGUGCCAGCAGCCGCGGCAAUUCCAGUUCCAAUAGUGUAUACUAAAGUUGCUGCAGUUGAAAAGCUCGUAGUUGGAUCUCGGCUUGCUAGCGUGUGUGAGCGCGCAAGUAGGCCUUUGCUGUAGUUUCACACUACGGCUUUACCUUGAACAAAAUAGAGUGCUUAAAGCAAGCAUUCUGCUUGAAUAUCUCAGCAUGGAAUAAUAGAAUACGACUUUUCUGUUGGUUUACCAGCAAAAGUAAUGAUUAACAGAGACAGACGGGGGCAUCCGUAUUGCUCCGUUAGAGGUGAAAUUCGUAGAUCGGUGCAGGACGUACUACAGCGAAAGCAUUUGCCAAGGAUGUUUUCAUUAAUCAAGAACGACAGUUGGAGUAUCGAAGUCGAUUAGAUCUCGUCGUAGUUCCAACUAUAAACGAUGCCAACUAGCACUCCGCUGGUAAUAUUUUUUUUACACUAGCGGGUGGCUUCCGGGAAACCAAAGUCUUUGGGCUCCGGGGGAAGUAUGGUUGCAAAGCUGAAACUUAAAGGAAUUGACGGAAGGGCACCACCAGGAGUGGAGCUUGCGGCUCAAUUUGACUCAACACAGAAAAACUCACCCGGGCCGAACACAGUAAGGAUUGACAAAUUGACAGCUUUUUCUUGAUACUGUGGGUAGUGGUGCAUGGCCGUUGUUGGUUGGUGGAGUGAUUUGUCUGGUUUAUUCCGAUAACGAACGAGACUCAGACCUACUUACUAGUCGUUAGAUUAUCGUUUAACAACUACUAAGAGGGAUCAGUGUCAAAAACACUUGAAAAUGAGCAAUAACAGGUCUGUGAUUGCCCUUAGACGUUCGGGGCCGCACGCGUGCUACAAUGAAGAAAGCAAUGGGUGUCUUGCUUGGUAAAGCCGGCUUAGCCUUAAAAUUUCUUCGUGGCAGGAAUCGAGGCUUGUAAUUAUUCCUCGUGCACAAGGAAGG
rnacentral:rRNA from 1 species